rnacentral:rRNA from 1 species
GACGAACGCUGGCGGCGUGCUUAACACAUGCAAGUCGAACGGAAAGGCCCUGCUUGCAGGGUGCUCGAGUGACGAACGGGUGAGUAACACGUGGGUGAUCUGCCCCUUACUUUGGGAUAAGCCUGGGAAACUGGGUCUAAUACUGGAUAGGACCAUGCUGUAGGUGGUGUGGUGGAAAGAUUAGUUUCGGUAAGGGAUGAGCUCGCGGCCUAUCAGCUUGUUGGUGGGGUAAUGGCCUACCAAGGCGUCGACGGGUAGCCGGCCUGAGAGGGUGGACGGCCACAUUGGGACUGAGAUACGGCCCAGACUCCUACGGGAGGCAGCAGUGGGGAAUAUUGCACAAUGGGCGCAAGCCUGAUGCAGCGACGCCGCGUGGGGGAUGACGGCCUUCGGGUUGUAAACUCCUUUCAGCCAUGACGAAGCCCUUGUGGUGACGGUAGUGGUAGAAGAAGCACCGGCUAACUACGUG